UUAAGGCGCGCUGGUGGUAGCGGCGUGAGCUGGCGUCCGCUCUUCUUGUCUCUCGCCAUCCACUGCCAUCCUCUGCCAGGAUCGCUCUCGGGAAUCGGGAGAGGAGUGAGGGCUGCCCGGGGCAGCGGGAGGUUCCUCCUUGAAGGAUCCAGAUGUAUGUAGGAAGCUAUCAGGAAGGUUCCACCUCAGAAGGUCUGGAGAGGCCAUCAGGAAGGUGAGUUUGAUAGGAAUGAUCACAGUUAAUCUGAUUUGGUCUAAUUAGCUCUACCAAAUGCUGUUCCAUCUUGUUAUAAAGUCAUAGGAGUUGGAAGAAGUGGUUGAUAUAAAGUCCAACCGCUAACUCAGUACUGCCAGGUCAACACUAAGCCAUGGCCCUCAGCACCACAUCUCCAUAACUUUGAAACCUGUCCAGGGAUGGGGACUCCACCACUGCUUUGGGCAGCCUGAGACUGGCCUUGACCAGCCUUAAGGGGCAGAAAUUGUUCCUCAUGUCCAACCUGAACCUUCCCUGGGGCAACUUGAGGCCUUUUCUGACCUGCCCCCACCUGGCUCCAGCCUCGUUUUGGGGCGUUGCAGAGAGCACAAGGUCUCGCCUCAGCAGUCUCAAGUCCCUUAGCUGUUCUUUACCAGCCCUGUUCUCCAGGCCUUUCAGCAGCUUUGUUGCCCUUCUCUGGACCUUCUCCAGUCCCUCAAUGUCCUUGGAGUGAGAGGCCUAAAACUGACCUCAGGAUUUGAGGUGUGGCCCCACCAGGCUGGGCAUUGGAGCACAAUCCCUGCCAUGGUCCUUGUGGCCACACCAUUACUGAUCCAAGCCAGGAUCUUGGUGGCCUCCUUGGCCAUCUGGGCACACCCUGGUUCAUUGAGCCACUGUCACCAGUUCCCCCAGGUCCUUUUGCUGGACAGUUCAGCCCCCCCUGUACUCAGCUUGAUUGGGUUGGUGUGACCCAAGGGGAGGACCUGGCUCUUAGCUUUGUUGAAUCUUAUCCCAGGGGCUGUAGCCUGCAGAGGCUUUGGGCUGAUGUAUCACCUCAUGAAAUAAAAUGUCUUGUGAGUGCUUUAAA